rnacentral:rRNA from 1 species
UAGGGAAUCUUCUGCAAUGGACGCAAGUCUGACGGAGCAACGCCGCGUGAGUGAAGAAGGAUUUCGGUUCGUAAAACUCUGUUGUUAGAGAAGAACAGCGCAUAGAGUAACUGUUAUGCGUGUGACGGUAUCUAACCAGAAAGCCACGGCUAACUACGUGCCAGCAGCCGCGGUAAUACGUAGGUGGCAAGCGUUGUCCGGAUUUAUUGGGCGUAAAGCGAGCGCAGGCGGUCAAUUAAGUCUGAUGUGAAAGCCCCCGGCUCAACCGGGGAGGGUCAUUGGAGACUGGUUGACUUGAGUGCAGAAGAGGAGAGUGGAAUUCCAUGUGUAGCGGUGAAAUGCGUAGAUAUAUGGAGGAACACCAGUGGCGAAGGCGACUCUCUGGUCUGUAACUGACGCUGAGGCUCGAAAGCGUGGGUAGCAAACAGG